CACACACACAGUUUGUAAACAGACAUUUAUUUUGUAUGCGAUUAAUCGUUUUGCAGCCCUACAUUUAAAUUUGGUUUUGAUUGAGAGCCAAUCACAGUGAACCCCUGUAGAGAUUCAAAAAUUCAUUGGCUGGCAGCAGGCAUGAUUUGCAUAUCACAAGUAAAAAUCCCAUUCGUUUUCUUCAUAAGACAAGACCUACUGUGAGCUAUGAGGUUAAUUGAUGUUAUAUGCAUUUGUUGAAGCCGCCAGUGGGCAUUGUUUUAACUCAUUUUGCAAAUAUGUUAAAAUUAACCAUGAUUCUUCAAAAAAAAUCUUAAAUAAAACCUGUUAGUGCCCACCCACUCCCAUGAAGCAUGCCGCAUGAUGUAAUAUUUUGUAUAUAUUUGCUUAUUUUGCAAUAAACGUAAAAUUUUGUUUCUAUAUACACACUCAACAUCUUUAAAUCAAUAGUUUAAUCUGUCAUUCGCAAUGCUUCUUGGGAUUGCAGUACUUUUGAUCUUGUACCCAUUUUUUUUUUUAAAAUUUUUUUUUUUUUUUUUUUUUUUUUUUACUUUUUAAAAAUGAAUGGGAAAAAUACUCCAGAAAAUCAAGGCAGCUGAAAAAGUGGACACUGUUGAACUCAAUUUGCUGCAGAGUCUGCCGCCAACCAAUGAAAGAUUGAACUUUUCUUUAAUUAGGCUCGAUGGCAACUAGAAGCUGUUCGUCCUAACAUAAGAAACGUGUUGGAAUAAACAGAAAUUUUUGGCGUCUCAAAACCGUAGCAAGUUAAAGAACUAGUUUCAGGCUCACUAAAACAGCCCUCAACAUCCAUUAAUAUAGUGACUAACGUGUGUCUCCUCCCAAUUAGUGACAUUUGUUAAAUAGUUCAAGCACAUUAUGAAAAUAUUGUCAUUGGUGUUACAACGAACCUUUUCGUCGGGGCUCUGAAGACCGAUUUGAGUUGUUUUUCUACAGUUUAAUCAUUUAGUAAAGGACUUAAAUGCUCUUGUCUCAUUGUAUUACUGCUUCAACGGAAUAACCUAUUGAAUAUUGUUUAUUUCAGAUACAACUGAACUGUAUGUAUUUCUGUUAAUAAAAGUCAUUAUUCCGUAGCCAGUAUGGUUUAUGGCCAGCUGAGAUUUAUUGGGUCGCCUAUGAGGCCCGUGUAGCGAUUCAGUCUUUUCAUCUAGGUAAGACUAAAACUGGAGGCCAGCCUUUGCCGUCAUCAGGCAUUGGCUCUAGUGCUCCAUAUUAAUGACAUUUCUUUGCAUCAGACAUGUGGGGAUGUCAAUAUUUUCCCAACCAUAUGUUGUCUUUAUUCUUAAAAUAUGUUUAGAGCUUUGUUCCAAUACUUUUAGUGAUCAAAUAAGACGGAUCUAUACCUUAGCUGUGUCCACUACUACGUCAUUGGAUUCUCCAGGGCUACUCCAGAGAUGUAGAAACCCAGCUGAAAAUCCAUAGGAUAAACGCACCAGGUUUGUAGAAAUGCUUUAUACACCAGACAUUGCAUCGGGUGUGUCUUUAACAUACUUUGGAUCCACCUGGAACGAAAUCAGGUAUUUGUGAGUCGUUAACGUAAAGCGUGCAUGCAACUUUAUUUCAGCAUUUCCUAAAUUCUAGCUGUGAAUAGCGUUAACUGGCGGUGACCAUGUAACUUAGAGGAAAAGUGGAAAUUAGAACAUGCUCUGUAGUUCAAUGUGGUGAUUGUGGUCUAUGUAGUUAUGUCUUAAUCCAAUAUUUUAGCCGAUUUCCAGUUUAAGGUCAAACCGGAGAACGGAGCUUAUAGUUCCUGUAUACUUGACGCAUUAGUUCCAGAUAUUAAUGACAUCAAAUGCAAAGGAGAUCAGCAUUUAUUAAGCAAGGUUUGUGCUUUCAGUUAUUUACCUUACAUCUUAUCAAUCCCCCUCCCCUCCUCAUCUCGGUGUUUUGUCCUACAUUUCUGGCAGUCUAAGAGGGCAGUGGGUUUUGUUGAUAAUCGAGUGAGACUAGUGAAAAUGCAACUAUACAACCUCUUGACACUGGCCUUUUCAAAAGUGCUGUCAUUUUCAAAGCACACCUCCUACAAAGACCCUUCUUAAAGGCACAGUGUGUAAAUCUGAAGGGGUUGUGUAGCUAGACAUGUUUCAGGACACCGCUUGUUGACUUGACGCUUACAUGCAUCUGCAUCUGUCUUCUUUUUCCACAGAGAACGCAAUGGAAGGAUUUAAAUAAAAUCUCACUUCCAAGCGCGGCCGCUUGAUGAACCUCUGCUGCGGCUGUGAAUCCAGAUGCUCUGAAAGAUGAAGAAAGAACUCCAGUGAGUUUGAGUUUGCAUAUGAACGCAUAUGCCAGAUUCCCGUGGACCUCCGAGAGGCAAGAUGCUCAUGACCUGGUGCCAAGAUGAUGCCGUGAUAAUGGUACUUGGAGGGCGACUGCAUUCGGUUCCUUUGACUGGAGUUGAAUCAAAUGCAUAAUGGCAAAGUGCACAUGAACACGAAUAAACAUGGCGUCGAAUGUCUGAUGAAUUCAAUAAAAAAAAUUAACUGGA